rnacentral:lncRNA from 1 species
UAGCGAGACUCAAACUCGGAAGCCACGAGCCUCACCACCUUCCCCGCCAAAACGCUGCGUUUCAGACCGACCGCUGUAUCCAGCAGCAGCGUCUGCUUCUUCACCAGAUGUGGCUAUCUUCUCAGUCAAGAAUCAAGAACUCGGAAAACCUUAGACACAUGAAGCAUAAUGCUCUAGUAGCCAACGCCGCUUUGAUGCGUCAGCACGCCGGAACUCCCCUGAAACGUCCGUCUACCGGCACCGGAGUUUUCCUUCCCCGGCGAUACCCAGCAACAACCCCUUCCGAGCCCAUCAAGAAGCCAGCACCAGUAGUCAACACAGCGGCUAUGUUGCAGUCAAAAGUCAACUUUGAUGAGUUUAUCAAUGUUAAGUCAAGACAGAGUCAGUUCGAUUACGGUAAUGAUUCAAACUAGAAACUAUUUUAAGUGUAAGAACACAGUACUUGUGACUUAAUCUAACUUUUUUUAUUAUUUAUUUUAAUUUGAGCAGAGUGCAUGUUAGCAAGAAGUAGACUACUUGCUCGUCAGGGAAACUACAGAGCAGCUGGUUGUCUGAAUCAAGAGAGACGUCUUCCUCAGGACUGGAUGUACUGAAACGGUUUGUUUUGUCUCGGAAGGAGCGUUAGUUAGAAGCGGUUUGGUUUUAGGUUAUAAACUGUGAUUGUUAUGAUAUGGUUAUUAACUAGUAAUAAGGAUUUGGAAAUCCAAAUAAAAGUAGGAGAUAUUUUACAAGUGUGUUACAUUAGUAUAAUAUUAUUGUUAGUCACUUAGACAAUAGCUCUCUGUAAUUUUUAUUUUUUGGACCUUGGGAGGGUUCAAGGGAGUUGAGUGGAGUGUGGUACUAUUUUUUUUUUCACUUUAGUCGACAUGUUAAGUUUCAAAAUGUGUUGGGUUGGGUGGGGGAUUUUGUUAUUUGCUGUAUUAAUUUCACAGUUUUUCUAAUGGGGUUGUAAUAAAAACAUCGCAAUUAUUUUGUUUAUUUUUAAAAUUAUGAAUUGAACUUGUUAAUUUCUUACCUUUACUUCCCAUUUUUAUAAGUACUUUGAUUUUUGUACUUCCAGACCAGAGUUUCGGAUUUAAAGUAGUUGUUUAAAAUUUCAAAAGAAAGAAAGAAACCGUAGUUUUCACCCUAUUUUCUCUCAAGUUUCCUCUCCGCCUCCCUCUUCAAGCUUUCAAUGGUUUUUCUUUUGAUCGGUGUGUGGCGGCUCCUUCAGUGCCGGCGCCGGUCAAAAUCUCUUCUACCGCCUUCUGUUUGCUUUGUCGUUCAUCCGUGUGUGACUUUUUUUUGUUUUGGGAGAAGAUUCGCCUUUGCCAAAUCGUCUUUAGCUUUCAGAUUUAUGAUGGAUUUCUGUUUCAAAGUUCUGGAUCUGUGGAUUGACGUGUGGCUUAGCUACAAAGAUUUUUUACUCGAAUCUCGUUCUAGAUCUGUUUGUCCUGUUGUUGUUGCGGAUCUCCUUUUUUUUUGGAUUGGACUCUUUUUGCAGGUGUUAGACUGUCCUCUUGGAGUUUGUUUUGGCUUCCAUCUAGUCUACAUUUAUGCCGUUCAUGGCAUGUUCUUGUGUUUUGGAUUAGGUGGACCUCGCCCCUAGUUGUUUGUUCAGAUCUCGCGGAGAUCUGUUGUUGUUGCCGCUUCAUACCUAGGCUUUCUACUGUCGUCGUAGAUCAAGCCACUUCUAAGAGUGUUAGUAAGAAUCUUUAUUUGCCGGUUUAUGAAAGUUUGGUUGUUGGGUCCUUGAGGUGUUUCCUCAGAGUUCUAGGAGGAGGUGGUCUACAGUGGUUUAGUCGAGGGUAUUCCCACUAAGCAGCUGCCACAUAAGCUCUAUCAUAUAGUCUCUCUGUAUUUUUGUUAGUCUUGUUCUAGUGAUUUGGAAAGUUAGUUAUUUGUUUUAAGUUUGCAAUAUCGUUGGUUCUUGUAUGCUGCCCCGUUGUGGGUUCUAGUGUCCGGGGAUAUCUUUGUUUUUCUCCGGUUUAGCUGACCACGGAAAGAUCUGUUAUUUGUUGGUGUUGUGUUGAAUUUAUCUUUGUUUUUAAUAAAAUCCGUUGAAGGAAAAAAAAAAAAAAAAAAAAAAAAAAAAAAAAAAAAACCGACCGACCGCUGUAUCCAGCAGCAGCGUCUGCUUCUUCACCAGAUGUGGCUAUCUUCUCAGUCAAGAAUCAAGAACUCGGAAAACCUUAGACACAUGAAGCAUAAUGCUCUAGUAGCCAACGCCGCUUUGAUGCGUCAGCACGCCGGAACUCCCCUGAAACGUCCGUCUACCGGCACCGGAGUUUUCCUUCCCCGGCGAUACCCAGCAACAACCCCUUCCGAGCCCAUCAAGAAG